rnacentral:rRNA from 1 species
GACACAAGCGGUGGAUGAUGUGGAUUAAUUCGAUGCAACGCGUAAAACCUUACCUACCCUUGACAUGUCCGGAAUCCUGCAGAGAUGCGGGAGUGCCCGAAAGGGAAUCGGAACACAGGUGCUGCAUGGCUGUCGUCAGCUCGUGUCGUGAGAUGUUGGGUUAAGUCCCGCAACGAGCGCAACCCUUAUCAUUAGUUGCUACGCAAGGGCACUCUAAUGAGACUGCCAGUGACAAACCGGAGGAAGGUGGGGAUGACGUCAAGUCCUCAUGGCCCUUAUGGGUAGGGCUUCACACGUCAUACAAUGGUCGGUACAGAGGGUUGCCAACCCGCGAGGGGGAGCUAAUCCCACAAAGCCGAUCGUAGUCCGGAUCGCAGUCUGCAACUCGACUGCGUGAAGUCGGAAUCGCUAGUAAUCGUGGAUCAGCAUGUCACGGUGAAUACGUUCCCGGGUCUU